rnacentral:rRNA from 1 species
UACGUAGGGUGCAAGCGUUGUCCGGAAUUAUUGGGCGUAAAGAGCUCGUAGGCGGUCUGUCGCGUCGCUGUGAAAUCCCGAUGGCUCAACUCCGGGUCUGCAGUCGAUACGGGCAGACUGGAGUACUGCAGGGGAGACUGGAAUUCCUGGUGUAGCGGUGAAAUGCGCAGAUAUCAGGAGGAACACCGGUGGCGAAGGCGGGUCUCUGGGCAGUAACUGACGCUGAGGAGCGAAAGCGUGGGGAGCGAACAGG